GUGCGGCGUGGCAGAGCGGUGCCGGCGGGCCCGCGGCGGGCAAGGCGGCGGUGGCGGCAGCAGCGUCCUCCGCGACCUGCUGAAGGCGCUGGAGGUGCUGGAGCUGCUCUGCGUCAACUUGCUCCUCUCCCCGUGGAGGAAGGAGAUCAAGUCGCUGAAGACGUUCACUGGUAAUUUUGUCUACUAUAUUCAGUCUGUGCUCCCAGAUGACAUAGUAAAAACAGUACUGGAGAAAAUAGGCUACAUUGCAACAACAGCAACAGAGUUUUCACUUGUCAGAAAGAGAAACAAUGAGGAAACAAAGCAGACUGCAUUUGAAAUAUUCCUGGCAAGAAUUGAGUGUGAAACCAUCCUCAAAAUGACAAACGAAGAAAAACAAGGCAAUUUGGAGAAGACCCUACAAAAGAGAACACAAAUGCACUGGCAUCAUGGAGAUAAGGACAAAAAGGAGCAGGCACCCCUGAGAGAAGACUCUGAAAAUCUGGAAAACAAAGAAAACAGUGAGACAUCUUUGUGCCUUGUUACUCAGCCUAAGUCUUCAACUAACAGUGAUAUAUCCUUUGAAGCUGCUAGGAAUCUUAAGAUCAAAGAUGACAUGCCUCAGUUAGCAGUUACUCAAUCCACUAACAGGCUUCAGGAACACCAAAGGCAAGUCAUUAACACAGCACACUUUCCAGGCAAAUGCUCAGACAGUGAGGACUUCUUGAUCAAAUAUAGUGACAUUGUCAUAGGACAAACACCUAUUUUCAGUGAGAAUCUUUCUCAAAAAGCUUUUGAAAAGAAGCCAAGAGACGGUUUAAGUGAAGAAUGUGUUUUGGCAGUCACUGCACAGUCAACUGAAAAUGAGAUCCCGCCUGUGCCACUCUCACCAGGAGCAAGCGGUCCACGAGCCUUUGCAAUAUUUGCUGACAGCUCUUGUGACAGUAAAAACAGUUUGGAGUACAAAGCUCAAGAAGUCCCUGAAGAAUCAAUUGAAGCAAAAAUUAGCGAUGCCAUAAACUGUGUAGACCCAGACCCUGCUGAUGAACCCAAUGAGCUGAAGUCUCUGCCAUACAAGGACAUUGCAUCUGUCCCAGACCACAGCGUCCCUAGGGAAGAGGAGGUCUGUGAGUUGCCUUUAACCUUUACUAAACUACAAAUCAAGGAAACUCAAGAAGAGCUAAUGUAUCCAGUAGAGGAAACUGGGCAACCUGAGUCAAUAGCAUAUACCUGUUCUUGCAGCAAUCCAAGAUUGAAAAUGGAGCGAGUCUAG
ensembl:lncRNA uncharacterized LOC112962317